AAGUGAUUCGGUUCCGAAAAGAUCCGUUCAAAAAGAGCCAUUUGUUCGCGAAACGACCCAUCACUAUCUUGUAGCCUACAGAUACAUAACCAGUACAAUUGGAUUUGCUCAACUCCUGCGCAAUUUCUUCCGUCCUUUUGAAAAAGGUACAAGUUAAAACAGGAUAGGCGGCGAGGAAAGGGAACGUGGAUGAAAAUGCGCUUGUAUGAGGGCCGUACGCUAGUGGACGGGUCCGUUGGCACGGCGUGUGCAGCGGUGGAAAAGAACAGAAUUUCCCAACUUCGUGCAAAUCACAAGCCGCAAACGCUGGCCAAUGACCAAUCAUGUGGAGUGAUUCCUAUCAUGAAUAUUACGCUCUGAGACUCAACGCUGGAGAGUUUCCCCAGAAAAUAUGGCUGACAAAAAUACUAGGGGGGACAGGUCUCCUGAGAAAACCAUCAAGCCAGGCAGUCGUCUUGUGAAACAGUGGAUGUAAAGAAUCUAGCUAGCUAAAGCAUUUACUGCAAAAUUGAAUGGACAAUUUUGUAAGUUGGCCUUGCUGAUAUUUUCCAUGCAAUGCAGUUGAAGUAAUGUAGUUAGCUAACUCUUUUCUUGCUUUUUGUGUAGUGGAGGAUAACAAUAAGUGUAUGCCUAUGGAUGUGUAGCUAGCUAUGUAGCCGAUCUGUGUAUGGAACCUAAAAUGUUUGGUAUAAAUAUUAGUUCAGAACAGUGUUUUUAAUUGCUUCCACCAGUUAAUCCGAAAUAAAUAUGCACAUGAUUGUUAACUGUCAAUAGUACAAUGUCAAUAUUAAAUAGCUAGCUAUGAACCUCAGCUAUCAUAGCUGGUUGUAGACUUCAA